rnacentral:rRNA from 1 species
UACGUAGGGUGCAAGCGUUGUCCGGAAUUAUUGGGCGUAAAGAGCUCGUAGGCGGUUCGUCGCGUCGGCUGUGAAAAUCCCGGAGCUCAACUCCGGGUCUGCAGUCGAUACGGGCGGACUCGAGUUCGGCAGGGGAGACUGGAAUUCCUGGUGUAGCGGUGAAAAUGCGCAGAUAUCAGGAGGAACACCGGUGGCGAAGGCGGGUCUCUGGGCCGAUACUGACGCUGAGGAGCGAAAGCGUGGGGAGCGAACAGGA